CUUCAUUUUAAACUGUAUUAAAAAUUCAAGUAAGAUUUACGUUUCAACCGUAACUGGAUCAGACUCGUACAAGUUUAUUUAAAUAUCGUCAAUUAUUAUUACACACGAUUAUGACCGCCAGCUUCCUUAUGGAAGGAAAAUAAUAGUCCAAGCUAAACUACACAUUGAUUUAUUUAUUUAAUUCUUUACUUUUCAUGGAAGAUGGCGCUUGAGGUAUAUUUAUAUUACCCAAAGAACAGUCAUUGAACUACACAUGAUUGCAGUGUUACGCAUUUGUUUUCCUUUCUAUUAUAAUAUUGUUGCGUGUUCCUAAAACAUCGCGUAGUAGUACAGAGAAUCGACUAGAGGCGCUUUACAUUGCACAUUUUCGCGCCCUUCUAGCGUCGGUUGCACUACUUUGCUUGUUUACGCGUUGCGUCGCACGUGUGUCGCAGUGUAACACGUUGCUCUGCCAUUCGGUGAAUCUUUAUUAAAUAUCGCAUAAACCUGAAGUUAUCUAUGUUUAUUAAGUGUCUAUGUUUGUUAACUGUGCUUAUUAAGUGUGCCUGUGUACUAAAUGUGUCUGCUUUAUUUCUAAAAUCUAUUGCUCGCAAAAUCUCUCGACCUUGCUGCGCAGAGAAUUCCCGAAACGUCGCUUUGAGGCAAGUUGAAAAAGUGCAUGUAACAAACCGUGCAGAGCCGUGUAACGCGGUCGAUUCAUACAACGAACGGAUUUCGUUUAAAAAAAUGCUCGUUGAAUGGCCGAUCUCGGGCCUACCGUUCGGUAGGUUUUAACGAGUAAAAUUUCCCGCGGUAGACACGAACGACAGUGAAUCCCCGACGAUCCCUUUGGCGGCACCUUUGCCGACCCGUCCGCGUUUCUCCUAUGACAAACGGAAGAAUGGAAGAAUGCUUCGGAGACAAGUUGCAUUUACAAUAAAGCCGACGGACAGUCGGUUUAAAUUCCUGUCACCUCGUGGCGGACACCGCGGACCACUCGGACAGCCCGAAAAAUGUUCGUCGAUAUUUCACGACCGUCUUCGAGCUACCACGAUCGUCGAACAGAUCUCUUCUUUUUACGCUAAGCGACAAGUACGACGCUUGCAUAAUACAAAAUAUAUUUUCUAUGAAAUAGAUAAAUUUCAGAAAUUUAUUUUGAAUGGUUCGGAAUUAUAUGACCUCGAUUUACAAUUUUGUAGGCACUUGUGUCAAAAAUGGAUUGCUACAAUGUCGGAAGAAAUGAAGAAGGUCAAAGUGUUGAAUACAUUUUGCAUUUAGCGAUGCUUGAUUAUUCAGGUGAUUAGAAUUGAACGAUUCGGUGAAGGGAAAAAAAGUUCGGUUUGUUACGUUUGAACUUUGCGCGCGAAAUCGACGCAAUAUUUCAUGGGGGAGGUUAAUUAUUAACCUGCGGAUAUUUAUGGCAGCCUGCAAAAUAAAUGUAAAUUAUUUAAUACACGGGCUAUUAAAUGAUAAAAUGGUUGCAAGGCAUGAUGAAAUGUUAUAAGGAAGAAUAGAUCAUAACAUAUUAUGACUGCUGAAUAUGAAGAUACUUCAAGA